rnacentral:rRNA from 1 species
CCGCAGCAGCCGCGGUAAUUCCUACGGGAGGCAGCAGUGGGGAAUUUUGGACAAUGGGCGCAAGCCUGAUCCAGCCAUGCCGCGUGCGGGACGAAGGCCUUCGGGUUGUAAACCGCUUUCAGCCGGAAAGAAAUCGCCGUUUUUAAUACAGACGGUGGAUGACGGUACCGGAAGAAGAAGCACCGGCUAACUACGUGCCAGCAGCCGCGGUAAU